rnacentral:rRNA from 1 species
GUGAGGAAUUUUCCGCAAUGGGCGAAAGCCUGACGGAGCAAUGCCGCGUGAAGGAUGAAGGCCUAUGGGUUGUAAACUUCUUUUCUCAGAAAAGAAUUAUGACGGUAUCUGAGGAAUAAGCAUCGGCUAACUCUGUGCCAGCAGCCGCGGUAAGACAGAGGAUGCAAGCGUUAUCCGGAAUGAUUGGGCGUAAAGCGUCUGUAGGUUGUUUAAAAAGUAUUCUGUCAAAGAUUAGGGCUUAACCCUAGAUAGGCAGAAUAAACUUUUAAGCUAGAGUUUGGUAGAGGCAGAGGGAAUUCCCGGUGGAGCGGUGAAAUGCGUAGAUAUCGGGAGGAACACCAAAGGCGAAGGCACUCUGCUGGGCCAAUACUAACACUGAGGGACGAAAGCGAGGGGAGCAAAUGGGAUUAGAAACCCGUGUAGUCC